rnacentral:rRNA from 1 species
GAUGAACGCUGGCGGCGUGCCUAAUACAUGCAAGUCGAGCGAACAGACGAGGAGCUUGCUCCUCUGACGUUAGCGGCGGACGGGUGAGUAACACGUGGAUAACCUACCUAUAAGACUGGGAUAACUUCGGGAAACCGGAGCUAAUACCGGAUAAUAUAUUGAACCGCAUGGUUCACUAGUGAAAGACGGUUUUGCUGUCACUUAUAGAUGGAUCCGCGCCGCAUUAGCUAGUUGGUAAGGUAACGGCUUACCAAGGCAACGAUGCGUAGCCGACCUGAGAGGGUGAUCGUCCACACUGGAACUGAGACACGGUCCAGACUCCUACGGGAGGCAGCAGUAGGGAAUCUUCCGAAAUGGGCGAAAGCCUGACGGAGCAACGCCGCGUGAGUGAUGAAGGUCUUCGGAUCGUAAAACUCUGUUAUUAGGGAAGAACAAAUGUGUAAGUAACUAUGCACGUCUUGACGGUACCUAAUCAGAAAGCCACGGCUAACUACGUG